GUGUUGUAUGAAAGGAGAGAAGGUUAGCACUCCCCUUGACAAGCAUGGAAGAGGCUUUGGCCUUGCAACACGCAUACGGUUUAGGCACUGCCCCCUACUUCGUGGCAACUAACCAACGUUUUUA
ensembl:snRNA